rnacentral:lncRNA from 1 species
AGGGACCCGACGGGAAUUUAUGCCAUCCCUAAUCCUGAAUAUAUAAACAGUGGCCUAGUUCCCUUUUAAUUUCAAAACCACCAAACAAGUAAAGAAAAAGAUAGGCACAACACAAGGGACAGUUUCAUUGGUGCACUUAGCAACUCUAAAUCCAUCCAUAACUCUACCAAAAAAGAAAAAGAAAAAAAGAAAAAUCCAAAUCACAACGUAAACAUAAACAAUGAAAUAAUAGUCUCACAAUGCAAGGGUUCGUUGGAAAGGUGAUAAUUUUGUAAUUUAUUUAUAUUAUUUGGGGAAAAAUUGAGCAAUGCCCUCUGAACUAUAAGUCAUGUUCCACUUUGCCCUUUGAACUUCCAAUUUAGUUUAAAACUCCUAAAACUUUCAAAUCCC